rnacentral:rRNA from 1 species
UAGUACGGCGAGUGAAGAGGAAAAGCUCAAAUUUGAAUCUGGUGUCUUGGCGCCCGAGUUGUAUCUAGAGAAGUGUUUCUGCCUCGGACCACACAUAAAUUCCCUGGAAUGGGGUGUCAUAGAGGGUGAGAAUCCCGUUUGUGGUGUGGACUACCUUGGCUCUGUGAUACACUCUCAACGAGUCGAGUUGUUUGGGAAUGCAGCUCAAAAUGGGUGGUAAAUUCCAUCUAAAGCUAAAUAUUGGCGAGAGACCGAUAGCGAACAAGUACCGUGAGGGAAAGAUGAAAAGCACUUUGGAAAGAGAGUGAAACAGUACGUGAAAUUGUGAAAGGGAAGCGUUGAAGUCAGUCACAUCGGUCGGAAUUCAGCCUGGCUUUGCCUGGUGUACUUUCUGGCAGAUGGGUCAGCGUCAAUUUCGACUGAGGGAAAAAGACUUGAGGAAUGUGGCUGUCCUCGGGCAGUGUUAUAGCCUCUUGUUGUAUGUCUCAGUUGGGAUUGAGGACCGCAGCACGCCUUAUGGCCGGGGUUUGCGCCCUCGGAACGUGCUUAGGA